GAUGGGCGGGAUCUUGGGGGGGAACUGUGUCAAAAGCCUUAUAAAAAUCCAUUUAAGUCAGCAGGCAGCUCUGACACAUCUUCCAGGAUAACCAUGUGGUGCACAGCACCCACUUUCUCAGAAGCUCUUCAACCAUCACAGCUGCAGCAGGAUUUCCUGUGUGAGGAGGUGCUGCCAGAAUGGUCCUGUGGCUCCAGGGGCUUUCAGCUGAUGGUGGGGUGUGGGGGUCAGGCAAAGACAUUAGAAGGAGAAGAAAGCAGAACCCAGGAACUUUGUCAGAGAAAUAGAAUUUUUUUUUUUUUCCUUGGCAAAAGGGUUACUAGAAUCUCACUAGUGCCACCAUCAGGGUGGCCUCUUGCUGGCCCUUUCAUGUCUCCUCCAUCUUCCCCACAGGGAACACUGUCCCCAGCUGAGCAGGGAGCUGCAGAGCCAGAGCCUGUGGGUGGCCUUCUGCCCCAAGUGUGGGCAGGACUGUUCCGACAACAACAGCACCUCCUGGAUUUCGGCAAGGUGGAGGGGAGGUCUCCCUGCCUGUCUGUUGGUCCCCAGCAACUCUCCUGCCUGUCUGCUGGUCUCUGGUGACUCUUCAGGGGAGCUGAUGGCAAAUUGAUACCAGGCAGAACUGCUGGUGACAGGGAAGAGCAGAAGCCACGUCAUUCUUAGUGACCUGACAGAUGGGGCAGCUCCACUCUGUCUCGUGGCCAUGUCUGUCUGUUGCAGCAGAAGGGGACAGAUGAGGACUAGGCAUGCUUGGCAGGAGUCAAGAAUCAAUCCGGUCUGGACCCAGGCUUGGCUGGCACCAAAAUUCAAGCAGUGAAGGAUGAGACCUCAUAUCCAUCCCCCAGUGCUGUCACAAUCCACCACUCAGUGGUGGAUCCUACAGAGGGACAUCAGCACCUGAAUAUAAACAGAAAGGAGUGCAAGGUCGCAAAGCACUCACAUGUGAUGUUAUCCUCCACCAUCCAGUGACAUCACAAUGGGACAUCAUGGCACGCCUUUGUUCCCUCUCACCUCAGCACAUAGGUCUGGGACUGCUGGCAGAUAUUGCCAUGGAAAAGGACAUGGGGGGUCACCAGAGGCCAGCAGCCAGGCUGGGUCAGUGCCCUGAGAACAGCCCCCACGGCCCAGUGCUUCUGGGUGGCCUCAUGCCCAGGGGCUCGGCAGGACUAAUCCAUUGAAAAUGGCAUUUUCCAGACUCUGUGUGGCCCUGGUUGAGACAAAGGCAGGAGGGAAUACACUAGGGCUGGUAGUGGCUGGCAGGGGCUGUGGAGAGCAGCAUCCUGCACAGAACAGUGGCAGAGAUGCAGGAAGAAGCCAGCACACUGGAGGCCACCUCCACCAGGGCUCCCAGCAAACUUUCCCUUCUGUGCCUGUCACUGCAGAGCAGGACCAGCCCCAGGAGGAGAGGAUUUUCUCCAGUUUCAAGAUAAUCUAGAUUCUCUUGCCUGUUGACCACAGGGAACUGAUAGAAAAACAAAUAAAAGGAAAGCAAGGUAUAAAACAAAUUGGUUUCUACUAAUGAGGCUUUAAUUACACUCCUCGAAUCUCCAAUUUCCAGCGCCUUCAAAAAACCACUUCUUUCAUGCCAUCAAGUCAAUUAUUUCCAUAUCUUGAAGCGACAUGCGGAAUAAAUAAAUAGACUCCACAACUCGAUGUAGUUAUCAAGUGGGUAUGUAUGGCAGCGCCCGGCACAAGUGAGAUAACUCUCCGAAAUCUUGUGCCCCGAGCUGAAGUCUGCCCCCCAACUUUAUUCACAAAGGUGUUCCAUGUGCAAUACAUUACACAACUUUUCUAUGCAUAUUCAACCCCUGGCCCCGCCUGUCUUUGCUUCUCAUGCUAAAUAGGUCCACGCCCUUCUGGCCAUGCGUAGUUUUUUGUGGGGGCUUUUAUGUGGGUCCCUGGUGGUCUUUGAGCCACAAACCAUCAUCUUCCUCCGCAUUGAACUUUUGAACUCUUCUCCUCUGCGCUUGCGCUUUUGGUCCUUUGCUCUCCUAUCUGGAUAAGUUCAUCAUCCUUGACAUGUUUGGAGACAGA